CAUAAAAAUAUUUCAGUUCCAAGACAGGUGAAAUGAAAAUCGCUUUCUAGGCACUUUUCGAGGUCACAGCAUACGGCCUACCUGGCCGUGUACAGACAGUCGUUGUACAUGGUGUAGCUUCUGUUUGGGAGGCUGUAAUGUCUGGUGUUCCUCAAGGAAGUUUACUUUGUCCUAAACUUUUCGUAUCUUUAUCAACGAUUUCCCUAAAGUUGUGUUUGAUACAUCACAGACAACACUGUAUGCUGAUGAUUCCAAACUUUACAAGAGCAUAAUCCUGUCUCGGUAGCUGUGAAACCUUGCAACAAUCCCUAAAUUGUCUGCAAAUGUGGAGCUAUAACAACAACAUUAGUUUGAACGCGUCGAAAGGUGAAGUAUUGACAGUACCCUGAAAAAGCAAUCCACUAUCAAUGUUUUUAUUACCAUCUUGGAGAUACAACACUGGCCCACGUUAGAAAAUAAAAAGACCUCGGAUGUAUUAUUACCAACCACCUCACUUGGGAUCAAUACGUUCUUACGUAGAACAUGCUCCAACACGAAAGUGCGGCGUUCUUUGUACCUCUCCCUGGUGAAGUGCCACCUCGAUUACGCUACCCAACUCAAGUCUGGUCUCCAGCACUCAAUUCACUGAAGAUCAAAAUGGAAAAUGUUCGCAGAAGGGCAACGAAGUGGAUCCUGAAGCAACGAUAAGGUGAACAGUCGUACAAAGAAAGACUGGUGACCUUGCAGUUAUUGCCCCUAUGUUACGAUCGCGAAGUAAAGAAUUUGGUUUUCUUUUAGGACGGGCAUAUAAAAUUGGAUAUCAAUAACUUUGUUGCCUUUGUUACCCACGGACGUACUAGGUUAAGCGAAGCGAGAACUCUAAAGACUCCGUCCUGCAGCACAAGCACCUUCUAAGGAUCGUACUUCAACCGUAUGGUCAAGCUCUGGAACAGUAUUAUGACCACUUCCACUUCUCGAAGCUUUCCCAGCUUAUCAAUGUUUAAAACGUUGGCUAGAAACAUAUUUAGUUUAGAGCUGAACCGAACCGUUGACGUGGACAUGACGUGCACAUGGAGUCUAGUGCAUGCAGGACUGCUCUAGCCAUAGUUCAUAGCGUAAACUAAUUAUUUAGAAGUAAAACGUUCAAAUAGGAGCGGAUGACGAUGUUUCGUGCGUCAUCUCAACUAAUCACUCCAAGAGAGUUGACUAGUCGAUCUCCAAAUCAUCAUUCGCUCCUAUUUGACCGUUUUGCUACUUUGAAUUCAUUCUUUAAGACGUUUACAAUACAUAUAUACUUAUACAUAUCUGUUACUACUUAUUAGAGAAGGGAGGUGC